GUACAUCAGUUGUUUCUUUCACUUGUCUUAAAAUGCGUCAAUAGGCUUUAAGUCAUAACCUUGAUGUAUAAAUGCUGUGUUAAAAAUAGUUUGCCUGAAUGCAUAGUUUUCCAAACUAUAGGAAAAGGGGUACAUUCAACCCUGACUCUUCAUGGUUCACCAGAACUGCCACAAUUAGAGUUCAUUCUGAAUUGCUAAGGUAUGUUAGGAGACAGCAAAACAGGACUCUCAAAGCUCACAAGAUAGACAGCUACUCAAUGCUGUUGUCGUUGUUUUUCUCUACGUUGCUCAAUGUGUAGCUGUAGGCAUUACUUAUUGAACAGUAUUCCAGUCCCGCUCUGGAGAUGCGAUUGGAUUUCCUCAUGGGAUUCUCCAUAGUGCAUACUGCAGAGAACAUACUUACUCCAUGUAAAUAAAUAAGAAAAUUAACCUAAGUAAAUUAAACCUUACCAAAAAUAUUAGCACAAUUCAUAUCUACCUGAAUUGGGAUUCCACCUUAAUAAAAUUGUUUAAGGCUCCUUGUUCCCGGUGCACGCUUGAUGUAGUUCAGGGCAGUUGUCAUUUGUGAGCCAUCUGUAGAUAAUAGACAGCUCACAUUACCAUACAGUAAAUAUUUAAGAAUAAGCUUAGCUAAAUAUGUUUCCUCUGCUGGUGUCUGGACAACUAAUCUGCUGUAACUCUGCUUGUGCCUCCAUUUUCAUAUCCUACUAAAACAAAAAGACGAAUCCCACAGGUCUCUCAUUGUCUUUCACUCCCAAACUGGUGAGGCAUUUAAAGGCAGCUACUUCAGUGAUUCAAUACCUCAUAUCUAGUGUCUAUAAUAUGAGUAUGGUAGAUUGUAAAUGCAACCUCAUGGUGCCAAAAUUUAGUUAUCUUUUUACUUGGUGAAGUUGAAGGACUCAAGUUACUUCAGAAUUAGUAUUCAGUAUAUUUUCAAUAUGCAGAAAAUAUUUCAAGAAGCAGCUGCACAGUAAGGAAUUCAGAAGCAAUUCAAUUGAAAGAAGACAGUUGGUGUUCAAGUCAGAGAUGUUCGUGAUCAGGAAGUGUCGCUGUUCACACUCUGCUCCCGUCUCCCAUCCAAACAAUGGAUAUGCAUGAGCACAAUUAAAGUGAAAAGAAAGUUUUUUUUUACUGUUCUAUGUUAUCCUCUUCACAACACCAAUGGGUCAGUGUCACUCAUACCAUGCAUAACUUAGCCAAGGUUAAGGAAGUAAUUCCAAGCUUACAGUACUAUAAAAAUAUUCGGAAUAUAACUGAGAAUCUUUUAAGUAAAUUGUAGCCUGUAGAGUCUCAAUUACUAAUUGAUUCCCAUAGCUGUCUCUCUCGCAUACCACUAUUUCCUAAUGAUAUAAGCAGUCCCACCCAAAUCCUUUCAAACUGAUCACCUUACUUUCAGACCUAAGGAUAACUCAAAAAGAUCAGGAGUAGCCAGGUUAAUCUUAAGGAACCAAAAUUUGGAGCCCUUAAUUAUCUUGUGGAGUGAUUUAGUAAUCAGAUUGGAGUCACAGGGAGAAUCAGCUUAAUAACCAAAGAGGAAGACUGAAUGAAUGAACUGAGUAAAACUUUAAGGGCAACGGAUUCAUUUUCAUUCUGAAUAUUGAAUGGAUUCAGUGAUUAAGUCAAAUUACUUCUAGGCUUUCUUUUUCAAAGGCUUUUUUCAAGAGUAUUUUUCUCUCCUUCAGAGUUUUCCUUUUUUACCCAUCAUCAGAAAGAUUCUACUUAUUUUCACGUAACUUUAUAUGCCAUUUUCUACAUAUCCCUCCAAAUGAAAAGUGGCAUUUCUUACUCCUCCUACAAGAAGGAUGCAUCUAUUUCUCAAUACAAGCCCCGUUCUUCUAACUCCAAGAACAAAAGAUUUAUCUUGGCCAAAUGCAAAGUGUUUUUAUUUAACAGUGAAACCUGUCUUCCUUUCAAAUUUGAAAACUAAUGACUCUAUGUAAAACUCCAUGUCCUUCCUGACAUAUGUUCAGUGGCUGUGUUUCCAUUAUGGUUUAUGACCAAAUCCACAUAGUUGUCGUUUCUUGAUUCAUAUUACGAAACAGGAAGACCCAUCAAGAAUUGGCACUGAACUGCAACAAGAUGCAAGCCAUUUUAUUUUUCACACAUAAGCACAGUGGGUAAAUGCAGCAAGGUGGUGACCUUGCAGUAUGUUCUGCAAAGACCAAUAAUCCUGCAAGCAACCAGUGAAGUUCAAAAGCUUUUAUGAGAGGCUGAAUCUUCACACUGAUGUGAUUUUUGCUGCUUCAUUGGUUGAAUGAAUGGUGCAGUCUCUUGCCUGGAUUUUUCAUCUAAAACUUCCAGACAUACAAAGGCUUGCCUGUUCCCUAACACAUUUGGCCAGAAGCAGUAGCAGCAAUAUUGGCAAGAAGUUCAUCCAGAUGCAAACUACUCGCAGGCAGAAUAUAAAGAUGAAGGCUCUAAAGAAUUUUUCCUCCCAUCAUGGCAAUUAGCAACUGGUUUGCUGUAAAUGUUUUGUGUACCGAAUGAUGCAGAAGCUCUUAUAUCUCAGGUAAAGAGCAGAUCUGUAGCGGCAAAGUUUUUAUCCAAUUUUGUUCUCAAACACUUUACCCACGAAAAACUAGUGGGGGGAAUUGCACAGUUGCCCCAGGAAAUAGGAAAUAUAGGAAAUGUAAUUGCUUUAAGUUCACCAGAAUUUGAAUUCAAACCAAAAUUCACAUAGACAACUGGUCUUUCAAGUGGCAUUUUUAAUAUUUUAUUCAAAAUAUAUCAAUAUGUAUAUAUAUAUAUAUAUAUAAUCAGAAAGGCCUUAAAGUCAUUCUGAAAAAAAAAAAAA